rnacentral:rRNA from 1 species
GACGAACGCUGGCGGCGUGCUUAACACAUGCAAGUCGAACGCUGAAGCUCAGCUUUUGUUGGGUGGAUGAGUGGCGAACGGGUGAGUAACACGUGAGUAACCUGCCCCCUUCUUUGGGAUAACGCCCGGAAACGGGUGCUAAUACUGGAUAUUCACUGGUCUUCGCAUGGGGGUUGGUGGAAAGGGUUUUUCUGGUGGGGGAUGGGCUCGCGGCCUAUCAGCUUGUUGGUGGGGUGAUGGCCUACCAAGGCUUUGACGGGUAGCCGGCCUGAGAGGGUGACCGGUCACAGUGGGACUGAGAUGCGGCCCAGACUCGUACGGGAGGCAGCAGUGGGGAAUAUUGCACAAUGGGCGCAAGCCUGAUGCAGCGACGCCGCGUGAGGGAUGGAGGCCUUCGGGUUGUGAACCUCUUUCGCUCAUGGUCAAGCCGCAACAAUGGUUGUGGUGAGGGUAGUGGGUAAAGAAGCGCCGGCUAACUACGUG